CCUACGGGAGGCAGCAGCGAGGAAUAUUGGUCAAUGGACGAGAGUCUGAACCAGCCAAGUAGCGUGAAGGAUGACUGCCCUAUGGGUUGUAAACUUCUUUUAUAUGGGAAUAAAAUGUUCCACGUGUGGGAUUUUGUAUGUACCAUAUGAAUAAGGAUCGGCUAACUCCGUGCCAGCAGCCGCGGUAAUACGGAGGAUCCGAGCGUUAUCCGGAUUUAUUGGGUUUAAAGGGAGCGUAGGUGGAUUGUUAAGUCAGUUGUGAAAGUUUGCGGCUCAACCGUAAAAUUGCAGUUGAAACUGGCAGUCUUGAGUACAGUAGAGGUGGGCGGAAUUCGUGGUGUAGCGGUGAAAUGCUUAGAUAUCACGAAGAACUCCGAUUGCGAAGGCAGUUCACUGGACUGCAACUGACACUGAGGCUCGAAAGUGUGGGUAUCAAACAGGAUUAGAUACCCGAGUAGUC
rnacentral:rRNA from 1 species